UUUUAUUUUCUGCUCCUGGCAUGACAAAAACCGUGGCUGCAUACACGUGCGCACAAGCACACACUUGCACAACCAGAAUCCGUGCUUCUCAAGAAGAACGCAUCCAACCCCAAAGCCCUCCUUUGGAGGUUCUCUGCUGCUUCCUGGACACAGAGGCAUACUUUUUGAGCCGUGUUGAUCUAGACGUCCCCUCGACGGAUACUGUAGGCGUCCGGAAGACAGAAACUGGACAGAAAGUGUUCCUUUGGCACCACAUAGCACCAUAACCCACCACGGACAUGUCGGACUCAGAGACCGCGGCUGCCCCCACAGAGGCCCCCGUUCCUGCAGUGUGCACUGGCAUCAAAGCAGACCUGGACAAAUGUGUGACAGAGAAGGGAGCUGAGGGCUGCAAAGAGCUGAUGGAGACCUUCACUGCUUGUGUGAAGAAUGCUGCUGAGGGGACAUCAUGAGGAGUCACCCUGCAGUCUAACAUGUCCAGUGCACUGAGUCCUCCAAGUUCCCAGCAUUCCCUUCUGCACAACAGCUCUCGACUGAAUGAUGAUGAUAACAAUGGGGAUGAUGAUUACCAUGAGACAAAAACUAUGUUGAUCGGUCUGAGUUUGAGAUCUGGAAGCAGUAACCUUUCUAAUGCUUGUUUUGUGGGAUAUUAAGGGUCUUACCCACUGGAAUGGUUGGUCCAGUGAUUGAUGUUCAUGUUGAAGAAGCUAAAACUUCUGUUUUUAUGUCAGAAUGUACACGUUAUUUUUUUUUUUAAAUCAGCUGGAAUGUCAUCAGAAGUUGAGAUUCUAGCAUGGAAAGUUGAAAAUGAUUACAAAUUCCAGCCCCAAAAUCAACCAUGGCUGCCACAUAAAACAUAUACAAGAAAAUUAAAUGCAGCAUUUGCAUGAAUCGUGGAGCUCAGCUGGCAAAAAAAAAAAAAAUGCAAAGUGAUAUUUAAUGGGACAUCAUUCCCUCAGCAGGGUUCCGAAGCAUAUAGCUCAGACAUGUGCUGCCUUCCAUUAGUGUUAGGGUUUAAAGUCUUAUCUUGGAAAAUGUGUAUUAACAGGUGUACUCAGGUGUACUCGUGCAAAUUUGUUGUCGUCGUUUUCACUAUGUUUUGUAGUGCAGCUGUGAUAUUGGCUUUUUGAAGACAAAGUUGGUGAAGACCCUCUGACUUUCCAUGUCAAAAUUCUGAUUAUAUCUAGUUUAUGUUUCUGAGCUAGAACUUGGAAAUUUUAGCAUCCGAGUAAAACAGAAACACAGCAACAAUGUCUGAAGUGAGAGCUCCAGUGAGAAUAUCUCAGCAUUUAAAAAACCAAUACAGAUUUCUAUUGGUUCCAUAUUGUGGCUACAUGGAAGCUGCAUCUUAUUGUUUCGAGAAUGUUUCGAAUUAAAGAAAUAUCUAAUUAAAACAGCCUCACAAUUACUGCCUGGGGAAAAUAAACUAAGAUGUUUGUGCUCACAGUUGGCUCAAUUUAGCACGGCUAGUCGUUAUAUAUUAUAUAACGAAUGUUUACUUCAUUUCUUAAACACAUCAUCAUUGCAAUGAUUUUUAACUGGCUAAUAAACCUUAAUAAUGAACUGA